rnacentral:rRNA from 1 species
GACGAACGCUGGCGGCGUGCUUAACACAUGCAAGUCGAACGGUGAAGCGCCUUCCUUUUUGGUGGGUGUGGAUGAGUGGCGCACGGGUGAGUAACACGUGAGUAACCUGCCCCCUUCUUCUGGAUAACCGCUUGAAAGUGUGGCUAAUACGGGCUAUUCUGGGUCUGUCGCAUGAUGGGUCUGGGAAAGAUAUUGUUUCGGUGGGGGAUGGGCUCGCGGCCUAUCAGCUUGUUGGUGGGGUGAUGGCCUACCAAGGCGGUGACGGGUAGCCGGCCUGAGAGGGUGGACGGUCACACUGGGACUGAGACACGGCCCAGACUCAUACGGGAGGCAGCAGUGGGGAAUAUGGCACAGUGGGCGCAAGCCUGAUGCAGCGACGCCGCGUGAGGGAUGGAGGCCUGCGGGUUGUGAACCUCUUUCGCCAGUGAAGCAGGCCUGCCUCGUUUGUGGGUGGGUUGACGGUAGCUGGAUAAGAAGCGCCGGCUAACUACGUG